ensembl:lncRNA
AUGGUAAAAAAGAAGAAGGGACUGGAACAAGCUUUGAAAACCAAAGAGAAGAUGGUCUGCUGGAUCCUGCUGCUCAUCAGCCUGACCCCCUUUACCUGGGGAACAUUUGUAGUGAAUGUGACACAGAGCUCCUAUCAGGCAGAGGAGAACCACAACAUCACACUGGACUGGACCUUCACAACCACAGCUCACAUGUCUCUCUCAGCAGUUUACAUCUUCUGUGAACUGUUAACUGAGGACAAAGGCCCAGUCCUGUUUCAUCUACAUGAGGGUGUUGAGGUCCCAGAGUCUCAGGACAAACAGUUUUCAGGACGAGUCCAGUUUGACAAAGACGUCCUCAGAGAAGGACGAGUCAGACUUCAUGUGUCCAGACUCAGGACUGAGGACUCUGGUCUGUACUGGUGUGAUGUGAAGACAGAUGAUGGUGCAGGUUCUGACAGCUGUCUCCUCAACGUCACAGGUAAGUUGGUUCAGUGAAACUUUCCUCACAGAUUCAUUUCAGCAGCUUUUUGCUAAAUAAGAAUCAGAGAAGAAAAGUAUUGUGGAAACUACAAUCCUUCCUGCUCUGCCUGAACUGAACUGAUUCACGUCCUUCUUGCAGAAAAGUUGUUUCUUCACAUGAAAGACACAGAUUUGAUUUGUCUCUUUACAGCAGCGAGGGACUGGUCUGAACCUGAGAGACCAGACGCAGCAGGUUGGAGAUGGAUCGUCCUCAUCUGUGGACUGGGACUGACAGCAGCAGCAGCAGCAGCAGCUGGACUGACUGUGUGUUACUGUUGGUUCAAAAAGACUCAGACUGGAGGACAAGAUGUAAAUCCAGAGUCCAGAGGUAGAAAUGAAACAAACUACAUCUCAGUUUCUAAAUCAGAGGAACCAGUUCGUUCAACAGACUCAGACCAACCCUAAAGUCCAUUUUCCAGCUCAGACAGAAAUCAGUGGUUUGUCAUUGGCUGCAGGUCAGAAAACUGCACAUCAGGACACAUCAGACAAACCAGCAGCUGCUUGUUCUUAGUAACCUGUGUUUUUGUGAGCUCAGCUACAGCAGAAAUGCCUCAGCCUCUGGUGGAAUAAAGUGUUUUCCUACCUUCAGAUGCUUGUGAGCUCACUCUGGACCCUGGUACAGCCCACCAGAACCUCCUUCUGUCUGAGGGGAACAGAAAGGUGACCUGGGUGGAAGAGGAGCAGAAAAAUCCCCAUCACUUAAAAAGGUCUGAUCAGAGCCAACAAGUCCUGUGUCAACAGGGUCUAGACCGGCGCAGCUACUGGGAGGUUGAGGUGUUUGGGCCCUUAAGUGUUGGUGUCACAUACAGAGGAACAGGCAGGAAAAAGAAAAUGGAUCAUGUCCAGAUGGGACAGGACGACAGGUCCUGGUGCCUGGUUUGCUCUGAUGAUGGUUAUUAUGUUCAGCACAACAGCGAUAAGGUCGACGUGCCUUCACUUGGGUUGCGCCACAGUCGGGUGGGAGUGUAUCUGGACCGGCAGACUGGGACUCUGUCCUUCUACAGAGUUUCCUCUGACAGUCUGACCCACCUCCACACCUUCAAAACACAGUUCAGAGAACGUCUCUAUCCUGCUGUUGAGCUUCACGCUCGGGCUUUUGCCUCAUUUUGUCCGUUAGCAUAACCAACUUUUCCCUGCACACGAGUUAAGACCCGUAAAGUCAGACUGUUGCUUCGUAUCUUGAAGGCUGUGAGUUAGUUUACUCAUCUGUAUAUUUAUGUGCAGGGCAGCUGAACUUUUCUGUUUUUGUCUGUGUAAAAUCGUUGUAAAGUCAAGUCAAUAUUAGUAUUAGAUGCAGCCAUAUGUUUAGAGCAUGUUAUGUUGGAAACAAACCAAAUAACGUCAUAAAGUCUUGGAAACAUCACAUUUACCUAACACAGACUAUGUGGGCAGCUACAAAUCUCCUCAGUUAAUACUUUUAACUUUUAGCUUUUGACGUGUUUUAAAGGUGCAGACUGUUUCACCUUCAUCAUGUGACCUACUGUCUGGGAUCUGAAACAGGCUCAGUUCCUAAAAACCCAAAAUAAUAAGGUGUAACCACAGGUCUACCGAGACCACUUAAGUUUCGAACCUUGUGGCAUAAUCCAACAAGCAUUUUCUAAAGACACAUACAAGCAGCUUCAAGCACAACGUUGGUUGAUCUUAGUGUUAGUGAAGACUUACUCCGUUUAUCUUUAUGUGCUUGUUAGUUUGUGCAAUUUACUGUCCUACAUAAGUGAAGACAACAAGCACUGGCAGCUGUAUAUUUACUGCUUGUUUUCAUGUUUUAACAGCAGCAGUGUCAUUUUGUUUGUUUGGCAGCUUCGUCCUAACACUGAAACCCAGAAAACAUUAAUAACGAGGUUACACAAUGAGCUCAAAAUUAGUAUCAGUUGCAGCCAUGAUUUUAGCAACACAGACUAUGUGGGCAGCUACAAAUCUCCUCAGUUAAUAAUAAUAACACUAAUUCUGAAUGUGGUAACACCCAGGAUAGUAUGUGAAGUCUGCUGUGUACAGUUUGUACAGGAUUGAAGCCAAAUCAGUCUUUGUAGCUGAUCAAAACUCUACCAGAAGAAGAAGAAUUAGGGGUCUGUCUGGACAGGCUGGGGCAGAGAGUCAAUGUGCUGCAGUGUCAAACGUGUUGAGUUCACUGGGUCUGUCCAAACAUGUAAAAACAAGUUGUAGAGACACUGAAAACUCUGUGGUGUGAAAAUGUUCAUGUUAGAAAUGAUAAACACACAAGUCAGUUGUUGUCGUACAGAAUAUUCAUGUUUGAGCAGUUUAUGAUUCUAAGACAAACCUCAUUAUUUUGUAUUUCAUCAUCUUGUUUCAGUGUUUGAUGUUUGUUUCAGUGAAUCUGCAGGAAAUAAAUGUCUCAGUUGAUUUUAACAGAAAUAAAAUGAUCUGAUCUGACAACUGAAGUUGACUCAGAAUAAACUUCAGGUGGAAUAAAACUUGUGACUUGUUCUGUGGGAAAGAUCAGAACAUUUGCAAACCAAAUAGUCACAAUGACUUUGAAUAUCUGGGUCUAUUCAAAGUACUUUAUAUGAUGAAACACAAAAACAGAUCACACUGUAAAAGGAACAAUGCUUGUAUUGUUUUUAAGCCCAUGUGUUGUACUGACAACUACUAAUUAAACAAUAUCUGAUGUUUCUGACAUUUUCUAGUUUUUCAUUAAAAAUCAUGAAGGUAACAGAUGAUAAAGUGAAACUGCCUCCUAUAAAUUUCUCUAAUUGUUGUGCAUGUUGUACAUUUUCAUUUGCUUCCCUGUUACAAACAGGUGUGGCUUGACUAAACAACCAAAUUUCUCAUUUACUAGUGAUACAAUUAAACCAUCGUCCUGGAGCUUUUAAAGUCUGAGGUAAACUAAGUUUAGAUAUUUGCUCUUACAUUUCAGUAGAAAACUGUAACAAUGGGCCUAAUAUGGAUAAAGAAUUUUAAACUUGUUUCCUUUUUUCUAAAAUAGAUGUUUUUUUCCAAAACAAAGCAGGGACCAAUCCUGUUCAGUCACAUGGGCUGGACAUAUUGGUGCUUCCUGGAAACAACACCAUUAACAACGAGCCCCUAUAAUCCUCACUAGUUUACAGGAAACAGAUCAGACCAGCUAAUAGACGCAGCUGUAACAUGAGGAAGACUGA